GGCUCCAUGACCCCAUGGUGGGGCAGUGGAUUCCAAAUCCGAAGGUUGUGGGUUCAAGUCCCAUUGGGUCA
rnacentral:tRNA from 1 species